UUUUUGAAGGGUUUGAUCUUGGCUCAGAACGAACGCUGGCGGCGUGGAUUAGGCAUGCAAGUCGAACGAGGAUAUAUCCUUCGGGAUAUAAGCCGAGUGGCACAAGGGUGAGCAAUGCAUAGAUUACCUACCUUUAGGAUAAGGGCAACUUUGUGAAAACGGAGCUAAUACUUAAUAAUACAAAAGAAAAUUAUUUUCUUUUGUCAAAGGGAGGGUAGCAAUACCUUUCGCCUAGAGAGGGGUUUAUGUCCUAUCAGCUUGUUGGUGGGGUAAUAGCCUACCAAGGCGAAGACGGGUAGCCGGUUUAAGAGGAUGGUCGGCCACACUGGGACUGAGACACUGCCCAGACUUCUACGGAAGGCUGCAGUCGAGAAUCUUUCGCAAUGCCCGAAAGGGUGACGAAGCGACGCCGCGUGGGUGAAGAAGGCCUUCGGGUUGUAAAACCCUGUCAGGAGUUAUGAAAUGUAAGUGCGCUAAUAUCGUGCUUAUUUGACAAAGGCUCCAAAGGAAGCCACGGCUAACUCUGUGCCAGCAGCCGCGGUAAUACAGAGGUGGCGAGCGUUGUUCGGAAUUAUUGGGCGUAAAGAGCACGUAGGGGGGUUUGCAAGUCAGAUGUGAAAGCCUUCUGUUCAACGGAAGAAUUGCAUCUGAAACUGCUAAUCUUGAGUAUAGGAGGGGAGAAUGGAACUUCUGGUGGAGCGGUGAAAUGCGUAGAUAUCAGAAGGAACGCCGGCGGCGAAAGCGAUUCUCUGGCCUAUUACUGACACUCAGUGUGCGAAAGCUAGGGGAGCAAACGGGAUUAGAUACCCCGGUAGUCCUAGCCGUAAACGAUGGGCACUAAGUAGAGGGGAUUACCUAUAUUCUCUCUGCCGUAGCUAACGCAUUAAGUGCCCCGCCUGGGGAGUACGGCCGCAAGGCUAAAACUCAAAAGAAUUGACGGGGGCUCGCACAAGCGGUGGAGCAUGUGGCUUAAUUCGAUGCAACGCGAAAAACCUUACCGGGGCUUGACAUGAUAGAAGUAGGAACCUGAAAGGGGGACGAACGGUAUCCAGUCCGUAGCUAUUACAGGUGUUGCAUGGCUGUCGUCAGCUCGUGUCGUGAGACGUUGGGUUAAGUCCCCUAACGAGCGAAACCCUUGUUUUUAGUUACCAGCGGGUUAUGCCGGGUACUCUAGAAAGACUGCCGUCGUCAAGACGGAGGAAGGUGGGGAUGACGUCAAGUCAUCAUGGCCCUUAUGCCCCGGGCUGCACACGUGCUACAAUGGUCGGUACAGACGGAAGCGAAGCCGAGAGGUGAAGCGAAUCCUAAAAAGCCGAUCUCAGUUCGGAUUGGAGGCUGAAAUUCGCCUCCAUGAAGUUGGAAUCGCUAGUAAUCGCGGAUCAGCAAUGUCGCGGUGAAUAUGUUCCCGAGCCUUGUACACACCGCCCGUCAAGCCACCCAAGCAGGAUGCACCCGAAAACAUUAUAUCUAACCAGGGCAACUUGGAGGAAAAUGUUGAAGGAGUGUUUUGUGAGGAGGACUAAGUCGUAACAAGGUAGUCGUAGGAGAACCUGCGGCUGGAUCACCUCCUUUCU
rnacentral:rRNA from 1 species